UAGCCUAUGAAUUAGUUCAAGAACAGUUUCAAUCUGGUCAUAUUGAGCCUACUCUUAGCCCAUGAAAUACUCCAAUUUUUGUAAUAAAGAAAAAAAAUCUGCCAAACGGAGAUUGUUACAAGAUCUCAGAGCAAUUAAUUGAACUAUGGAACUGAUGGGUGCUUUCCAACAUGGGCUUCCCUCUCCUACAGCUAUCCCUCUUGGUUGUCAAUAGUAAUUGAUUUAAAAGAUUGUUUUUUCACUAUACCAUUGCAUCCAGGUGAUUGUAAGAGAUUUGUAUUUAG
rnacentral:ncRNA from 1 species